rnacentral:rRNA from 1 species
UACGGAGGGUGCAAGCGUUACUCGGAAUCACUGGGCGUAAAGAGUGCGCAGGCGGGCUUGUAAGUCAGAUGUGAAAUCCUGUAGCUUAACUACAGAACUGCAUUUGAAACUAUGAGUCUAGAGUGUGGGAGAGGUAGGUGGAAUUCUUGGUGUAGGGGUAAAAUCCGUAGAUAUUAGGAGGAACACCAGUGGCGAAGGCGGCUCUCUGGUCUGCAACUGACGCUGAGGCUCGAAAGCAUGGGUAGCGAACAGG